ensembl:lncRNA
GUCAGAAACAUUCCCCUUUGCCACAGAGCUAAGAAUGCAUCAGUCCCCUAGAGAGCAAAGAUUUAAAAAGUUAAUGCCAGACCCAUAAUGCGUAUUAUUUGUAUUUACAUGUAUACAUUAUUGUAUUUUAUUUGUAACAUGUCCAUGUGCUGCUAUCAUUCGGGUUUAUACAUUGAGUUAUUCUCAACAUUUCCUUUCGUUGUCUUUGUAUUGUCUUGAUGUAUUAUAAGGCCUUUAAUUUAAUUAAACCAGACGAACACAACUGACAAUUACAGCCAGGAAUUUGGAACCAGACAAAAGCAGAACGAUACCUUAAUAAGGCUAAUUCUUGACUAUGCUAGAAGUUACAAAUUCACUCAAAUUUUGAGCGCAUUUUAGAGCAAGGCAUUGUGGAAGAUACAAAAAUCAAUCAACUAUGGGUUCUGCCAUCAAAGACCUAGCAAUCUAGGAUGGGAGAUACAACACAUUUAGUAAAAAAGUUGUAAAAGAAUAUGUUGUGUCAUAUAUGAGACAGAGAUAAAAAGUGGCUAGAAAAGCGAGUUUCAGUUAUUACGGUUGCUAACAAGUUAUCCCAAGCCUCAGCAGUGUUAAAUACCUAUUUAUUAUUCUGUGGUUCAGGAAUUAGGACAGGGCACAGCAGGGACAGUUUGUCUCUGCUUCGUGAUGUCUGGGGCCUCAGCUGAUGACCUGAAUCUUGGGGGCUGGAAUCAUCUGAAGGCUCAUUUGUUUUCUUGUCUGGGAGCUGAUGCUGUAUAGACUCAAAGGACUGGUGAGCUGGAAUAGCUGGGGCUCCUCAGGCGUCCCUAUGUUUUGUGGUCUCUCCACCUGGUCUCUCCCUCAUGGCCUGUGUCUUGAGAGAGCAGCAGGUAGAAGCUGUACGGCCUUUUUGAACCCAGCUUUACUUCAAAUUCAUUUCUGCCACGUUCUGUUUGUUAGAAUCAAUUGACUAAGGCUGUCCCAUAUUUAAAGGGAAGGGAAUUAGACUCCACCUUUUGUAGGAGUAGUGUCAAAGAAUUUGUGGGCAUGUUUUAAAAUCAUCACACUGGGUGAAAAUCAGGAAAUUGAAUGGAUAUUGAAAAAUGAAUUUAAUAUGAAUGAGUAGAGGUAAGACAAAUGGAAGUCAACACAGGGAUCUACAUCAGCAGCAGGUAAACAACGCAUGAGCCGAACAGACUGGUUAGGCUAGGCAUUGGGAGUGUAGGAAAUAAGGCUGAAAACAUAGAUGGGGAUGAAGAUGUGCCAAGCUAAGGAGCAUGGAUUUGACUCAGCUGGGAACAGAACGCUAUUCAGUAGUGGUUUUCAACCUUGGUUGCCAUUGGAAUCAUCUGAGGAGCCUUAAAAUAACCAAUGCCUGGGUUCCACCCCCAGAGAUUCUAAUCUAGUUGUUCUGGAAUGGAGCCUAAGCAUCAGGACUUUUGAAAGCUUCCCAGGUGAUUCUUAUGUCAGCCAAGGUUGAGAACCAGUGCUCUGAAGGAUUUUGAGGAGAGAAGUGAUGUUAUCAGGAAUCAGUUUGCAUUCUUUCUCUGGGAAACCAGUGUGGUUGGGCACAAAGAUGGAUAAGGACACCUCUUCUGCCUUGAUGGAGCUCCUGGGUGAGAGCGAGAUCAGUCACCUUCACCAAUCUCUGUGAUGCAAUAGGGUUUUGCUUUUCCCGGAUGUCUUCUGGAACUCCAUCCCUACCUGAGGCUUCCACGCUGGAUUACAGGCAUUCCUAGGCUCUCUCUUAACCACCACUCAUAGCUUGCAUCACUGUUUUAAUUGUUUGCUUUCUAUAUCCCCUCUGGAUAUGACUCUUCUAUGUCAAAAUUAUUCAUUGUAGAAUUCCCUAGCCCAAUGCCUGGCAUGAAAUAUUAAAUAAAAUAAUGAAUGUUUGGGAUAAACUAAUGUGACAUGAAUGUAGGGGACACGGUAGUCUGAGCCAGGUUGCAGAGGGCCUUAAGUGUGCUUCUAAAUGAGGUUACAGAUAUUAUCACGUGCUGGGCAGCAGGGAUCCAGUGACGACUUUGAGUGGUAAAAGGACGUGGUGCCUCUGGUGGCAAGUGGGGUGUGGACUGGAAUGGGGAAUGGCUGGCAGCUGGAAGACAUGGCCCUGAUCUCCCUCUCUGAGGGGAACUGAUGCAGUCAGUGUAUAGAGAUAGGAGUGUACUAGCCUGCAGCCUGGUUAUGGGCUGGGGGCGGGGGGAGGAGGGGACACAUUCUGAAUAAUAACAUCCUAUGGGAUUUCUAAGUUUGUGACCAAGCUGGCAUCUGCAUCUAGGUUACUGGGUUCUAGAACAUGGAGUGGAGGCAUAGGAAGGCCAAGAAUAGGAGGUCGGGAAGUGAGGACGUGAAAGAAUUCCCUGUGCUGAGCAGCAUGCAGCCACCAUGAAUAUUUACUGGAGGCAGCUUGCCUGUUAAGGGUAGUGACAGACUGGUGGGUAGAGAGAAGAGGGAGAAAUCAAAAAAGACUUUGGUUUGGGUAACCUGGUGAGUGCUGAUGCUUUAGCAGGUUAGGGAGAGGAGGAGGAGAGGAGAAGGAGCAGCAGCAGCUUGCUAGGGCUGCAAUCAGAUUGGACAACGAGGGAGGGAGGAAUAGGUGGCAGAUACUUCAUGGAUUUUCUUGAGUCCCAGUUGGGGAACUUAGACAAAAAAUCAAGAUUUUUCAUUGUGUUUUAAAUUUAAUCUGUGAGAAUCACUUUAUUUUACUCAUAAAAGCUUUUUUAUGAACAGCAAUGCCUUAGCUGUGUUCCUAGUUCUAAGAGAGCCUCUUCAAACUUUUUACACAAGUCUAGUUAAUUAGGGUCAGAUCAAGGAGGUCUGAGUCGAUGGGUUAAGCGUCUUCAGGUUGGUGAGUAAGAUCAGCCUCCUAGGGCAAAUGGUUUAAAUAUUUAAGCAAAUUUUUUUUCUAUAAUAAAUAUUUUCCAUGUAGUUGCCUAUAAUAAACACUCACAGUCUCAAGAUGGUAAAUCAGCAGAACUUGGAACCACCUACACAAAAUGUUCACUAUAUGGAGAAAGAAAAUAGACUUAGAUCAAAACCUAAUUUUAUGACAAGUUAUAGAGUAAGUACCACUUUAAGAUACAUUUUUAUGGUAACUGAUAUGUAAAUAUUCUCGAAUCUUCUCUCUUAUCUAUCCAAAAAAGGGCUAAUUGUUAAGCUAGUGCUUUGCAUUUCCAAAAUUACUUCCAUCAACAGCUUUGUAAACUUUCUCUUAAAUCGUUUGCCAGAAUAAUUAUGGCCUAUGGAUUUAAAUAGGAUUUUAUACCGUUUUGUUAAUUAGCUUAGUCAAAGAUAUUUGGGGCUUAUCAUACUGAAUGAAAUAUUGUUCUAUUUCUUUUUUCUUACAGUGUUUUUUUUCCUCAGCCUAAAAUAGGUGUACUCGUUCCUGUGCCAAAGAGUAUGAAAAGUCUCAGGAAGAAUUUGGCAGUUUUUCCUAGAGUAUAUAUUUUGCUUGAGGAACUUGUCAGUUGCAAAAUGGGGGAGGCUAAUUAUUUUAACACAUUUUUAUAUUAAAAUAAAUAUGUUAUGCUAGAAUGAAAAUUCACAUGAAUUUAUGCAUAUUAAAAAAGAACUGCACACAAGACUUCAAAUAGCUAUUAAGCUGGGUGCCAGCAUUUUCAGCUUCUCACUCCAUCUCUGGGUGAGGUUUCUUGCCUUCUAAAGAUGGUCUUGUAGAUGGGGCAUUUAUACCCAUCACUCUGGGUUCUGUUCUAAACAGACUUGAAGAAGAUGUCAUAAGAGAAUCAAGAGCCCAGAAAUAAACCCAAGCAUUUACAGUCAGCUAAUAUUUGACAAGGGAGCUAAGAAUACUCAAUGGAGAAAAGAUAGUCUCUUCAAUAAGUGAUGCUGGAGAAACUGGAUGUUCACAUUCAAAAGAAUGACACUAGACCCCUAUCUUACACCACUCACAAAAAUUAACUGAAAAUAGAUUAAACACUUAAAUGUAAGACCUGAAACCAUAAAACUACUAGAAGAAAACAUAGGGGAAAACUGCCUGACAUGGGUCUUGGCAAUGAUUUUUUGGAUAUAACACAUAAAGCACAAGCAACAAAAUAAAAAGUAAAUAAGUAGGGGGCCAGCCUGGUGGUAUAGUAGUUGAGUUCACACGCUCUGCUUCUGUGGCCUGGGGUUCACGGGUUCAGAUCCCAGGUAUGGGCCCAUGCACUGCUGAUCAAGCCAUACUCUGGUAGGGUCCCACAUACAAAAUAGAGGAAGAUUGCCACAGAUGCUAGUUCAGCGACAGUCUUCCUCAAGCAAAAGGAGAAAGAGUGGCAGCAGAAGUUAGCUCAGGCCCAAUCUUCCUCUCCAAAUAAAUAAAUAAAUAAGUGGGACUUCAUCAAACUAAAAAGCUUCUGCAGAGCAGAAGAAACAAUCAAAAAGUGAAAAGUCAUCCUAUGGAAUGGCAGAAAUAUUUGCAAACCACACAUCUGAUAAGGAGUUAAUAGCCAAAAUAUAUAAGGAACUCAUGCUACUCAAUAGAAAAAAUUAAUAAUUCAAUUAAAAACUGGGCAUAAAACCUGAAUAGACAUUUUUCCAAAGAAAAUAUUCAAAUGGCCAACAGGUAAAUGAAAAGAAUGCUCAACAUCACUAAUCAUCAGGGAAAUGCAGAUCAAAACCACAGAGAUAUCACCUCACAUCUGUUAGAGUGGCUGUCAUCAAAAAGACAAGAAAUAACAAGUGUUGGCAAGGAUGUGGAGAAAAAGGAACCCUUGUGCACUGUUGUUGGUGGGAAUGUAAAUUGGUACAGCCACUAUGGAAAACAAUAUGGAGGUUCCUCAAAAAAGUAAAAAUAGAACUACCACGUGAUCCAGCAGUUCUACUUCUGGGUGUAUAUCUGAAGAAAAUGAAACCACUAUCCUGAAAAUGUAUCUGCACCCCUAUAUUUAUUGCAGCACUAUUCACAGUAGCCAAGACAUGGAAACAGCCUACGUGUCCAUUGAUGGAUGACUAGAUAAAGAAAAUGUGUGUGGGGGCUGUGUAUACACAUAUACAUACAUACAUGGAUACACUCACACACACGUACACACAAUGGAAUAUUACUCAGCCUUUGAAAAGAAGCAAAUCCUGCCAUUUGUGACAACAUGCAUGGACCUUGAGGGCAUUAUGCUAAAUGAAAUAAGUCAGAGAAAGAUAAAUACUGUAUGAUCUCAUUUAUACGUGGAAUCUAAAAAGACCAAACUCAUAGAAACAGAGAUGAGAUUUGUGGUUGCUAGAGGCUGGGGGUGAAGUGGUGGAAAUGGGAGAAGGUGGUCAAAAGGUAUAAACUUCCAAGUUAUAGGAUAAAUAAGCUCUGAUGAUGUAGUGCACAGCAUGAUGACUGUGGGUAAAAUACUGUAUUGUAUCUUUGAAAGUUGCUAAGAGAGUGGAUCUUAAAAGUCUGCGUCACGAGGAAGAAAAACCUAUCACUCUAUGAGGUAACGGACG